CGACGCCCAACACACAAAACAAGCGGUGAGUGCUUUGGGGUGGGGUGACUGCGUACCUUUUGUAUAAUGGGUCAGCGACUUAUAUUCUGUAGCAAGGUUAACCGUAUAGGGGAGCCGAAGGGAAACCGAGUCUUAACUGGGCGUUAAGUUGCAGGGUAUAGACCCGAAACCCGGUGAUCUAGCCAUGGGCAGGUUGAAGGUUGGGUAACACUAACUGGAGGACCGAACCGACUAAUGUUGAAAAAUUAGCGGAUGACUUGUGGCUGGGGGUGAAAGGCCAAUCAAACCGGGAGAUAGCUGGUUCUCCCCGAAAGCUAUUUAGGUAGCGCCUCGUGAACUCAUCUUCGGGGGUAGAGCACUGUUUCGGCUAGGGGGUCAUCCCGACUUACCAACCCGAUGCAAACUGCGAAUACCGAAGAAUGUUAUCACGGGAGACACACGGCGGGUGCUAACGUCCGUCGUGAAGAGGGAAACAACCCAGACCGCCAGCUAAGGUCCCAAAGUCACAGUUAAGUGGGAAACGAUGUGGGAAGGCUCAGACAGCCAGGAUGUUGGCUUAGAAGCAGCCAUCAUUUAAAGAAAGCGUAAUAGCUCACUGGUCGAGUCGGCCUGCGCGGAAGAUGUAACGGGGCUAAACUGUGCACCGAAGCUGCGGCAGCGACGCU
rnacentral:rRNA from 1 species